rnacentral:lncRNA from 1 species
GAGAAUAAACAAAAGAAUGUCUAGAGUGCUGGAAACAUCGCCUCUCCUUGUCUUCUCAGAUACCGGCAAAGUCUCUAAUAAAUUGCCAGAAUUUCACAAGUGAAUCAUGAGGAGGAUGUGAUGUUUUUAAAUGAGACAAGAUCACACUCAGGCACCUAUACUGGUCUGAGAUUCACAGUGUAGCUGAUGUGAACCGUGGACUCACAGCAAUACUCCUGCCUCAUCUUCCAGAGUACUAGGAUUAGACAGUGUUCUUGUCCAGUGUUGGAUGCUUUCUAGGGUUUAUGAUUAAUUGUGUUCUGCAGAAGAAGAAAAUAGAAUGACUUUCCCCAGAUCAUAUAUUUGAUAAAGAAAGGGGAUGU